rnacentral:rRNA from 1 species
GGCUCAGGACGAACGCUGGCGGCGCGCCUAAUACAUGCAAGUCGAGCGAGAAGGUGUAGCAAUACACUUGUAAAGCGGCGAACGGGUGAGGAAUACAUGGGUAACCUACCCUCGAGUGGGGAAUAACUAGCCGAAAGGUUAGCUAAUACCGCGUACGCCUCCCGGACUUCGGUUCGGGAGGGAAAGCGAUACCGUGGGUAUCGCGCUCCUGGAUGGGCUCAUGCCCUAUCAGCUUGUUGGUGAGGUAACGGCUCACCAAGGCUUCGACGGGUAGCUGAUCUGAGAGGAUGAUCAGCCACACUGGCACUGCGACACGGGCCAGACUCCUACGGGAGGCAGCAGUAAGGAAUAUUGCGCAAUGGGCGAAAGCCUGACGCAGCGACGCCGCGUGGGGGAUGAAGGUCUUCGGAUUGUAAACCCCUUUCGGGAGGGAAGAUGGGAUGGGUAACCAUUCGGACGGUACCUCCAGAAGCAGCCACGGCUAACUUCGUGCCAGCAGCCGCGGUAAUACGAAGGUGGCAAGCGUUGUUCGGAUUCACUGGGCGUACAGGGAGCGUAGGCGGUUGGGUAAGCCCUCCGUGAAAUCUCCAGGCUUAACCUGGAAAGUGCAGAGGGGACUGCUCAGCUAGAGGAUGGGAGAGGAUCGCGGAAUUCCCGGAGUAGCGGUGAAAUGCGUAUAGA